rnacentral:rRNA from 1 species
AGUGAACGCUGGCGGUAGGCCUAACACAUGCAAGUCGAACGGCAGCACAGUAAGAGCUUGCUCUUACGGGUGGCGAGUGGCGGACGGGUGAGGAAUACAUCGGAAUCUACUUUUUCGUGGGGGAUAACGUAGGGAAACUUACGCUAAUACCGCAUACGACCUACGGGUGAAAGCAGGGGAUCUUCGGACCUUGCGCGAUUGAAUGAGCCGAUGUCGGAUUAGCUAGUUGGCGGGGUAAAGGCCCACCAAGGCGACGAUCCGUAGCUGGUCUGAGAGGAUGAUCAGCCACACAGGAACUGAGACACGGUCCAGACCCCUACGGGAGGCAGCAGUGGGGAAUAUUGGACAAUGGGCGCAAGCCUGAUCCAGCCAUACCGCGUGGGUGAAGAAGGCCUUCGGGUUGUAAAGCCCUUUUGUUGGGAAAGAAAAGCAGCAGGUUAAUACCCCGCUGUUCUGACGGUACCCAAAGAAUAAGCACCGGCUAACUUCGUG